UACUUUCUUUCGCAUGAAGGAAAGUUGAAAGAUGGCUUCUCGCUAUCACUUACAGAUGGGCCCGCGGCGCAUUAGCUAGUUGGUGAGGUAACGGCUCACCAAGGCGACGAUGCGUAGCCGACCUGAGAGGGUGAUCGGCCACACUGGGACUGAGACACGGCCCAGACUCCUACGGGAGGCAGCAGUAGGGAAUCUUCCGCAAUGGACGAAAGUCUGACGGAGCAACGCCGCGUGAACGAUGAAGGUCUUCGGAUCGUAAAGUUCUGUUGUUAGGGAAGAACAAGUACCGUGCGAAUAGAGCGGUACCUUGACGGUACCUAACGAGGAAGCCCCGGCUAACUACGUGCCAGCAGCCGCGGUAAUACGUAGGGGGCAAGCGUUGUCCGGAAUUAUUGGGCGUAAAGCGCGCGCAGGCGGUUCCUUAAGUCUGAUGUGAAAGCCCACGGCUCAACCGUGGAGGGUCAUUGGAAACUGGGGAACUUGAGGACAGAAGAGGAGAGUGGAAUUCCACGUGUAGCGGUGAAAUGCGUAGAUAUGUGGAGGAACACCAGUGGCGAAGGCGACUCUCUGGUCUGUUUCUGACGCUGAGAGUGCGAAAGCGUGGGUAGCAAACAG
rnacentral:rRNA from 1 species